UACGUGCCAUGUGUUUCUUUUGUGUGGACUUCCCUACCUUCACCUGUCAAUCACCAUCCACCAAGUCCCACCUUCACCAAUCCCCACCCUCCGUGUCAAUUCUGGACAACCAAUCAGAAAUCGCCACAUCUACUAUAUAAACCCCAACUGUUUGUAACAAUGGAUGUCUGACUGUUUGUGUUGUGUCUUUGACUAUGUUAACCACUCAUUUGAACUUGUCUUGUUUUGUGUACACUUCCAAGGCUUGGGACAGGUAAGAUUGGGGGCUCCUGUACAUAUGCCCGUAGGCUAUGUUGUGUAUAGAUUCACUAGUCCUUAGGGGUGAUUGCCAACCAAUUGUGUUUUCAGUCUGCUAGUUAGAGUAGAUAGGCCUUUUGUUUGUGUACUUGAUGCACUAGAUUAAUUUACUCUCUGGUUUAGCUAGCUUGUUUUUCUGUUCUUUUGGCAACAUCCAGCAUCCGUUGACCCUGGUAGUGUGUGUCUGGGUUGUUGUAUGUCUGGUAGUAGUUGUUGCACCUUUUUGUUUGUUAUCACUAUAAAACACCCGUGCACUGAGUUGCUGCUUUGUCUGUGUUUUUGUUGUUACCAUAUCUACAGCAUUAACAUCUCCCGGCCAUUAACAUCCAGUUACAUACCCCAUGCACCCCUAGACCCAUGGGGUCGUAACACCCAUGAUGCAUCAGUAAGAAGACAUUAAGACAGUGGUCUCCAACCCUGGUCGUGGUGAGCUACAGGGUCAGCUGGUUUUCAAAGUGACUCUGCACUUCAUGAAUCAAUUAGAGCAGUUGAUUACACAGUUAACUCAACUCACCUGGUGUCUUGGGUUUCAAUUGGGUGCUGAUUUUAAGGUUAAGACAAAAACCAGCAGACUCUGUAGCUCUGCAGGACCAGGGUUGGAGACCACUGCAUUAAGAAGAUGGAUACAAGAUUGGCAGACAGAGAGAGAAAGAAAGCAGCAUCAAGGGCUGGAUGUCAGAAUGGGGGUGCUCGUAGAGUAUGACACAGAUCUCUACCCCGGUAUAAUAACGCAGAUUGUUGGCAAACAGUAUGAGGUAGAUACAAUGAGUUGGGUAGGGGAGAACAGAUUUUUCAAUCCUGCAGUGAAAUACCCCGGCGACAAAAUCUGGUAUUUACCGGGAGACAUUAAAGAGGUUAUCCCAGAGCCACUUCCAGUGACAUCGUCCAAAAGGCAUUUCUGCAUUUUGCCAGAAAUCUGGGCAAAACAUUCCAAAUAGUGAUGGACAGUUUGAGUCUUUUCUUCGAAGUCGGUGCAUUCAAACCGUUCGACUGACUGUCGAAUGUUUCAAGUUUUUCCUUUUUUUAGUACUUCCACUUCGUAUCCUGAGUCUAACAGGUAGCAAAAGAUAAGAAUAGGCAUACUGAAGUGUUUUUUGGUAGCCAAAACCUUUUAUUAAUUUGAAUUGAAAAUACCUUAAUGAUGAGUCUAUUGGUGUUCUGUAUAUCAAAUUGAACACCUGAUGCCAUGGGAAUGGGGCAUCAAACAUAUAUUCACAGCUAUCCAAGAUCUUGUAAGGGGUGGCUAUCAAGGUUUUAGCUCUUAAAAUGGAUAAAUUUCUCUAUUUAUAGUUUUCUUUGACCAAUAAAAUGUUUUUAUAUGUGGCUGGCAAACUAGUUCCUGGCCAUUUGCUUUACCAAUUUCUCUUUGCCAUGUUUGUGGUAAGGCCCCAAUAAGUUGAUGAAAUUUUUGUAAUGUGCAGACAUUGCAAUAAAUAUUGAUUAGUUGUUUGUAAGACAUAAUUUUACCUUUCUUAUUUACAAUAUAAUUUAUAAAAAUAAUGCCUUUAUCAAACAUUUUUCGAAAAGAUAAGCUUUCUAUCUAUCAAUAUAUUAGAGUUUAUUAUAGCGAAUAUGAUUUGUUGCAAUGUUUGUUCUGUAUUUUCUGUAAUUACCUGAAUGUUGCUUAUUGUUAAUGCUUUUCGUGUUGAUACUCAAAUCUAAAGCUUGCACAGAUCAAUUUGAGUCAAUCAUAGUUCUUGUUCCAACUCAUUUGAUAUUGACAGUUCUGAGGUGAGAUAAAUCAUAGUUGGUUUGUUGGCUGCCUGUGUAUCCAUCUCUUUUGUUCAAAGCUACAUGUAAACAGUCUUCCUACAGUAUGCUCUUAAUUUAUGGUAGCCUAAUAUCUUCAGUCAAAACGAUGUUU